rnacentral:rRNA from 1 species
AUACGUAGGUGGCAAGCGUUGUCCGGAUUUAUUGGGCGUAAAGGGAGCGCAGGUGGUUUCUUAAGUCUGAUGUGAAAGCCCACGGCUUAACCGUGGAGGGUCAUUGGAAACUGGGAAACUUGAGUACAGAAGAGGAAUGUGGAACUCCAUGUGUAGCGGUGGAAUGCGUAGAUAUAUGGAAGAACACCAGUGGCGAAGGCGACAUUCUGGUCUGUUACUGACACUGAGGCUCGAAAGCGUGGGGAGCAAACAGGAUUAGAUACACUGGUAGUCCACGCCGUAAACGAUGAGUGCUAGGUGUUGGAGGGUUUCCGCCCUUCAGUGCCGCAGUUAACGCAUUAAGCACUCCGCCUGGGGAGUACGACCGCAAGGUUGAA